UAGGGAAUCUUCCGCAAUGGACGAAAGUCUGACGGAGCAACGCCGCGUGAACGAUGAAGGCCUUCGGGUCGUAAAGUUCUGUUGUUAGGGAAGAACAAGUACCGGAGUAACUGCCGGUACCUUGACGGUACCUAACCAGAAAGCCACGGCUAACUACGUGCCAGCAGCCGCGGUAAUACGUAGGUGGCAAGCGUUGUCCGGAAUUAUUGGGCGUAAAGCGCGCGCAGGCGGUUCCUUAAGUCUGAUGUGAAAGCCCCCGGCUCAACCGGGGAGGGUCAUUGGAAACUGGGGAACUUGGGUACUGAAGAGGAAAGCGGAAUUCCACGUGUAGCGGUGAAAUGCGUAGAGAUGUGGAGGAACACCAGUGGCGAAGGCGGCUUUCUGGUCAGUAACUGACGCUGAGGCGCGAAAGCGUGGGGAGCAAACAGG
rnacentral:rRNA from 1 species